CCUAGAUGAGGGGAAGAAAAGAUGGUCAUCAACUGCAGCUUUAAUGUCAUAGCUUACAAGGUCCUUCAUGACCUUGAACACUACUGCCUCUCCUCUCUCCACAGCAUUCACACACACCCAUACCCCUCCUGAGGCCUAGUGACUACCUUCAGUUACCUGAAUUCGAUCUCCCUUCUACCCAGAACUCUCUACUUUUUAAAAAAUCUUUUAUGUUUCCUUUAGAACUUAGUUUACAUGUCAUUCUUUGUAAGCCUUCUCUAAACAAACUCCUAUCCCCACAUAAAUCUGUCCCUCCUCAUUCUUCCCCAUAGGAACUUAUACCUCCCAUGUCACAAUAUUUUUUAAUGUAACAAAUAUUUAUAUAACAUCUACUAUAUGCCAGCAACUCUUCUAGGUGAUGAGUGAGCUACAAUGGAAACCAGGCAGUAUUUCUCUUAGGAAACGUAGAGACUAAUAAGAGAAAUGUAACAGACACCUAAGGUAAACUUCUGACAGUGAUAAAAGCUCUGAGGAAA